GGUGAGUCGUGGAGGAACGGCCGCCGCGGAGGCUCCGACUCUGAACUCCUCCGCGUUUCUCAGGUCGGUCUGGCCUGGUUUGGUUUGGUUCGGCCUGGUUUUGGUUCGGCUGCAGAGCUUCUAGCUGCACAGAAAGUCAGUCACCUGCAGACACGUGACUCCCACAACCUGACGCACUUCUCUCCUCCUGAUAAACUUCUAAUACUGAAGUUUUCUUCCAUCUCUGGACAACAGUUUGGCCCCUUCGGCGUUUCCAAAUGUUCUCACCUCCAGUAUGUCAGGUAUGCUGGUGGACCAGCUCCACUCCUCACCUGUCAGGGUGGAUCUCCACUUUCCUUGACAGGUGACACUGUUGCUGCUGACUGUAAGAAGGAAAAUCUGCAGCCAGAAUCCACAAAUAAAACUGUUCUGUAAUUCCUCAGAUGUGCAAGAAAAAGUUUGUUUUAUUUAAUAAAUGAUCUGACUGCUGCGUGUCUUGAUUUGAUGAACAUGAGGGUUUCUUUGGAGGGAAAUGAGGAGUUGAUCGUGUUGGAACGGCGGUGACUGCAGGUGGAGUUCAUGACUCAUCCAAACUCCUCAGAAGCUCAAACCGGAAUCGCAGGACAGUGUGUCAUCUCAGCUACGAUGUUCUGCUAAAGUCAGAAGGAUUCAGUGGAGCUUAAGAGUCUGGACUGAAAAGCUUUUAUUUUUUUAAGUUUUUUUUCUAGAAUGAGUGACUUUCUAACCAGUUUUGAUGACUGUGAAAGCAGGAAAUAACAAAAACCAGUCGGACGAUAAAUAAAGCGUUUCAAUGCUCAGUUUGUUUCCUUCAUCUCUG